ACUGGAAGAAAAUAUCUGGGCCAAUAAAAGCCUGGUUUUCUCUUUUACCUAUUCAUUCAUUCACUCAUUCAUUCAACAAAUAAUUUUUGAACAUCCACUCAUCUAUCUUUAUCAUUUAUGAGUUGUAUAGACAAGAUACUUAAGGCCAGGCGUGGUGGCUCACGCCUGUAAUCCCAGCAGUUUGACACUUAUUCAAGUUACUGUGCCUCAGUUUCCUUAUCUGGAAAACAUGGAUAAGAUUUCUUCCUAGGGUAGUUGUAACCUUUGUAUAAGUGAAUUGUAUAAAGUCCUUCACACAGUGCCUGGCACCUAGGAAGCACUCAACUAUUAGCUUUUAUGAUUAUUACCGUGUCCCAGACAAUAAUCAUAUAUUAGGUUGGUGCAAAAGAAAUCAGUUUUUGCCAUUACUUUCUAUGGCAAAAACUGUAAUUACUUUUGCACCAACCUAAUAGUAAUAAGAUAUAUUGGACAGUUUCCAAUAGACAGUUUCCAAUAUAUCUUAUUACGUAUCUCCCUGUUUGAAUAAACAUGGGAAUGUAACCACUCUCUGCUCUUGUGAUCACCUCUCAGUAUAUCAGAGUUUCGUGGCUAGAAUAGAUCAGAGAAGUCAUCUUGUACAAAUCCUUUAUUUUAUAAAUGAGAAAAAUGAGGCCCAGUGAUAGAAGGUGACUUGCUCAUGGUUACAGUGAGUAGGAGACCCAGGACUGGAAGUCAUGUCUCCCAACUCCCAGCUCAGUGGUUCUCCAGUUCCCUUUGCUUCCUCAAUUACUGCAUCUGCUGUGGCAUUUGUUUACAUCGUACCACAUCCCCUUAUCACUAGGCAUGAGAAUAGGUCAUUGAGGACAUCCUGUUCUAGUUCUGAGUGCCCUUGUCCCUUUCUCUAUAUUCUUGCUUUAGAGAAUGAAACUAGGAACUACACUUGUUACAGACAAUAAAUAAUAAUAAUUUUUCACACGCACACACCCCCACACUUGUUUCAAAUACAUAAUUUUAUUAAUAAAAUAGAUUACAAUCCUUAUUAAUUUUUAAUGAGCAUUCAAUAUGGGUCAGGCCCUGAGCUAAACACUUUCCAUGCAUUGUCUCUUUAAGAAAGGGCAAGGAGCUUACUUUCUGGAUCAGGGUCCAUUGCCACAGGUGGAGAAACGUGCUCUAAGAAAGUUGAUUUACUGGGAGAAGUUCUUUUAUCUCAAACACUUCAAAUGUAUUCAGUUGGUCCUGUCCCAAAGAUGCAACCAUCUGAGCCAGUAUGUUAAACAAAAGUAACACAGAUUCCUUUUAAUGACUGAACAAAAGACUCUUGUAAAUUGCUGAGACUAUGAUCAAUUCCUUAUAGUUAUCUGGACUCACCUUGAAAAUCACUGACAUAAAAUAUUACUGUUCUCCAAUAAUGUCUUUCAAUGCUAAUUAUCACUACAAAAGAGAAACUUCAUAGCUAGUACACCCCAGUUUCAGAAAUUCUUCUAAGCUUUAAACUAUCCCAGAAGGCUGCCCAUUUCUCCACAAGCCUUUAGCACCCAGGUUUAGGGGAAAUGCUCUGUCUUUUAAGAAAUUUGAAGGUUCUUCUCAGGGGUCCAUUGUGCAGUGACCCAUGAGAGGGAACUUCACUCAUUGCAAUCACGUUCUUGAGAUGACUGUCAGCAAGAUUCUAGCACAUUCCAGCACACCACUUUGAAAUUGUAACUUCUCAAAUACUUUCUAAGUGAAUUGAAUGUUUUCAGAUAUUCUUGAAUACAUUAGAAUAUGCUUCAGAUCUGAUGUGAUGAUUAUAUUUGUUUUCAGGUUGUUAACAGAGGAGGGGGAGACUCUUUCCUACUCUACCCAAAGGAAAAGCAUAGAGUUUAUAUCAUUAAAAGAGUAUGUGGAAGCUUAUUCUACAGAAGGUAGAUACCAUCCUUUGCUGUUGCAAAUAACCUACUAAAACUACUGUCAUCCUACACAAAUGUCUUCUUCAGGCUAUAAUAGGAUGCCAUUUCAAUUUAGUAGCAUAGUAAAAAUUUAUUCUAUCAGUUGCUUUAUUUGAAUCAUGAGUCAGCAAACCUUUUCUUCAAAGGGACAAAUGGUAAAUAUUUUAGGCCUUGGGGCCCUUAUGGUCUUUGUUGCAACUGUUUAACCCUGCCAAUAUAGUCCAAAACAACCACAGACAACUCAUAAACAAAUAAGUAUAGCUGUCCAUAUUCCAAUAAAACUUUUGAUGGACACUGAAAUUUGAGUUUCAUAUAAUUUCCAUGGGUCAUGAAAUAUUAUACUACUCUUGAUUUUUCCCAUUUAAAAUAUGCAAAAACCAUUCUUAGCUCAUGGGCCAUAUGAAAACAGGGCCGGAGUUGGCCCAUAGGUCAUAUUUUGUCAACCCUUGGUCUAAAUGAUUGCAAUAGAAUAGUUGGCUGAUUCAUAGAAUAUUUUCACUAAUUGAUUUAUUCUUAAUUUUUAAGAUAUUUUAGAGUCCCAAUAGGAUGUUGAUGCAGAUAAUUUUAAGCUUACGUAAUUUUGGCUGUUUACACUGUAAGUCAUUCUAACAGUUAAUUUUAUGUGCCAACUUGGCUAGGCCACAGUACCCAGAUAUUUGGUCAAACACUAGUCUAGAUAUUCCUGAGAAGCUAUUUUUUAGAUGAGAUUAACAUUUGUAUCAGCAGACUUUGAGUAAAGUAGAUUACCUUCCAUUAUAUGGGUGGGUCUCAUCCUAUCAGUUGAAGACCUUAAUAGGAAAAAGACUGACCUCCCCUCAAACAGAGAAAAUUCCAUCAGCAGACUGUCUUUGGACCCAAGCUACAACAUCAAGUCUUCCCUGGAUCUCCAGCCUACCAGACUACCCUGCAGAUUGUGGAUUUGUCAGCCUGUACAGUUGUGUGAGAUAGUUCUUUAAAAUCAGUAUUUUUCUGUGUCUCUCUGUCUCCAUCUCUCUCUCUCUGCAUUUCCCACCUCGUCCUCUCAUUACAUAUGCUAUUGUUCGUUUCUCUGGAGAAUCACGACUAACAUAUUCUACCUGUUGUGAUCUUUAAGGACUAUUUUUGUUUUAAACAAAAGUCCUUCCAGGGUCUCAUUCUGUAACCCAGGCUAGAGGGCAGUGGUGCAGUCACCAUGCCCAUCUAAAUUUUUUCAUAUUUGUAGAGAUAGGGUGUCACUAUGUUGCCCAAGCUGGUCUUGAACCCCUGGCCUCCAGUGAUUCUCCCACCUCAGCCUCCCAAAGUGCUGGAAUUACAGGCCUGAGCUGCUGUACCCAGCCUUUCAGGACGAUUUUUUGGAUGGCAGCAUGAUUAUUCUCUUAGUACAGAAAUUUUUACUUCAGUUAUUGAUUAUAUUCCUGCUCAAAUCCCUUUAUUGAAGUUUGAAAUCCAGGUCAAUAAAUUUAUUGAAUUUUGUGUCUUCAAUAUUUUUAUAAGUUUAAACCAAUAGUGCAGCUUUAUUAUACUCACAGGAAAACUCAAAACGGUUUUGAAUCAGUAUGACCAAUGCAAUUCUUUUAGCUCAUUAGUAAGCAACUGACACUUCUUUGUUGGCAGUACAUCCUAGUCUUCUACUGCAUUUUGAAAUCAACACAUUCUUUAAUAUACCAUAUUUAAAUAUGUUACAGCUGAAGUCUGUCAACUUAAGCUCACUAAUGUUCAGCAAACUAAAGUAAUAGGCUUUGUUGCUUCUUUUAGUCUAAUUUUGCUUUUCUUAAAAUAUGUUCUGUUGGCACUUAGCCUCUUUGUCCCAUAAGCUGGUCCUUUAAAAAUGAGUUUUACAGAAAAAUAAGUUUUGCAAGCACUGAAUGCUACAGGCCACUCCUGAAGAUUUGUAAUACAUGUGGCAUAUUAUAGAUUUGAAAAGUUAGGUAGCAAAAGAACCUGUUUAAAUUUAUUGAAUCUAAUGUUUCCCAAAUGUAUUUGACCACAUAAUUUUUCUUUUUUUCCCCCCCCAACAACAUCUACUGGAACACAUUUUGGAAAAUGCUAGUCUCAUAACUUUCUGUCCUCCUUAAGGGUCAUAAAAGGCUAGAAACAAUAUGGCCUUAAGGACAUGUAACAAAUAAAGAAAAGCACAAAUUACAUUAUGAAAGCAAAUAAACAGUCAAGAUUCUAAUAAUUUCUGAUAAAGAAUCAGAGUCAGCUAAAUAAACUAUCCUUUGUUAUUAUUCUCCUUGUUUAUAUUUAGGUAUAAUGUCUCCUGUAUAAAUCAUUACCAGCGGCGGCUAAGAGAACAGCAUCUUCCUUUGUAAGGCUAACCAGUUUUAUAUUUAAUUCCAAGUCUAUAAAUCGGGAAUGUGACAUUUCUCCCUUUGGCCUGUUUUAGAAAUAAUGAUAAAUGAAUUGGGCUACCUGCGUGAGAAGGGAGUAAAUCCACAUCUUCCAAGAAGGAAAUAAAGUCAGUUGCUGAGUUUUGGCCUUUGACUGCUCCUUCUGAUCCAUCUGCCUAUCUCGGGUUGCUCUCAGCUGCAGAGAUCAGGCACGUGGCUUGUGAGAUAGGCCUGAUGAUGCUCCACACACCUUCACUGGGGUUUCUCUGAGCCCACCCCUGGGUGGUGAAAGGGAGCCCUGGGCGAUUAGUGAGGGAAGGCUCUCCCGUAUGGUACCCCACCAUCUGCUCCUGCAGACUCCUUGAUAUGGUUUGGCUGUGUCCAAAUCUCAUCUUGAAUUCCCACGUGUUGUGGGAGGGACCUGGUGGGAGGUAAUUUAAUCAUGGCGGGGGGGAGGUCUUUCUUGUGCUGUUCUCAUGAUAGUGAAUAAGUCUCAACGACAUCCGGUGGUUUUAUAAAGGGGAGUUUAACUGCACAAGCUCUCUUCUCUUGUCUGCUGCCAUG
rnacentral:lncRNA from 1 species